GGAGAUUUAGCUCAGUGGUAGAGUGCUUGCCUAGGAAGCGCAAGGCCCUGGGUUCGGUCCCCAGCUCCG
rfam:Rattus norvegicus chromosome 11, whole genome shotgun sequence.